GGGUUGUGAGGUUAAGCGACUAAGCGUACACGGUGGAUGCCCUGGCAGUCAGAGGCGAUGAAGGACGUGCUAAUCUGCGAUAAGCGUCGGUAAGGUGAUAUGAACCGUUAUAACCGGCGAUUUCCGAAUGGGGAAACCCAGUGUGUUUCGACACACUAUCAUUAACUGAAUCCAUAGGUUAAUGAGGCGAACCGGGGGAACUGAAACAUCUAAGUACCCCGAGGAAAAGAAAUCAACCGAGAUUCCCCCAGUAGCGGCGAGCGAACGGGGAGCAGCCCAGAGCCUGAAUCAGUGUGUGUGUUAGUGGAAGCGUCUGGAAAGGCGCGCGAUACAGGGUGACAGCCCCGUACACAAAAAUGCACAUACUGUGAGCUCGAUGAGUAGGGCGGGACACGUGGUAUCCUGUCUGAAUAUGGGGGGACCAUCCUCCAAGGCUAAAUACUCCUGACUGACCGAUAGUGAACCAGUACCGUGAGGGAAAGGCGAAAAGAACCCCGGCGAGGGGAGUGAAAAAGAACCUGAAACCGUGUACGUACAAGCAGUGGGAGCCUCUUUUAUGGGGUGACUGCGUACCUUUUGUAUAAUGGGUCAGCGACUUAUAUUCUGUAGCAAGGUUAACCGAAUAGGGGAGCCGAAGGGAAACCGAGUCUUAACCGGGCGUUAAGUUGCAGGGUAUAGACCCGAAACCCGGUGAUCUAGCCAUGGGCAGGUUGAAGGUUGGGUAACACUAACUGGAGGACCGAACCGACUAAUGUUGAAAAAUUAGCGGAUGACUUGUGGCUGGGGGUGAAAGGCCAAUCAAACCGGGAGAUAGCUGGUUCUCCCCGAAAGCUAUUUAGGUAGCGCCUCGUGAAUUCAUCUCCGGGGGUAGAGCACUGUUUCGGCAAGGGGGUCAUCCCGACUUACCAACCCGAUGCAAACUGCGAAUACCGGAGAAUGUUAUCACGGGAGACACACGGCGGGUGCUAACGUCCGUCGUGAAGAGGGAAACAACCCAGACCGCCAGCUAAGGUCCCAAAGUCAUGGUUAAGUGGGAAACGAUGUGGGAAGGCCCAGACAGCCAGGAUGUUGGCUUAGAAGCAGCCAUCAUUUAAAGAAAGCGUAAUAGCUCACUGGUCGAGUCGGCCUGCGCGGAAGAUGUAACGGGGCUAAACCAUGCACCGAAGCUGCGGCAGCGACACUGUGUGUUGUUGGGUAGGGGAGCGUUCUGUAAGCCUGUGAAGGUGUACUGUAAGGUAUGCUGGAGGUAUCAGAAGUGCGAAUGCUGACAUAAGUAACGAUAAAGCGGGUGAAAAGCCCGCUCGCCGGAAGACCAAGGGUUCCUGUCCAACGUUAAUCGGGGCAGGGUGAGUCGACCCCUAAGGCGAGGCCGAAAGGCGUAGUCGAUGGGAAACAGGUUAAUAUUCCUGUACUUGGUGUUACUGCGAAGGGGGGACGGAGAAGGCUAUGUUGGCCGGGCGACGGUUGUCCCGGUUUAAGCGUGUAGGCUGGUUUUCCAGGCAAAUCCGGAAAAUCAAGGCUGAGGCGUGAUGACGAGGCACUACGGUGCUGAAGCAACAAAUGCCCUGCUUCCAGGAAAAGCCUCUAAGCAUCAGGUAACAUCAAAUCGUACCCCAAACCGACACAGGUGGUCAGGUAGAGAAUACCAAGGCGCUUGAGAGAACUCGGGUGAAGGAACUAGGCAAAAUGGUGCCGUAACUUCGGGAGAAGGCACGCUGAUAUGUAGGUGAAUUCCCUCGCGGAUGGAGCUGAAAUCAGUCGAAGAUACCAGCUGGCUGCAACUGUUUAUUAAAAACACAGCACUGUGCAAACACGAAAGUGGACGUAUACGGUGUGACGCCUGCCCGGUGCCGGAAGGUUAAUUGAUGGGGUCAGCGCAAGCGAAGCUCUUGAUCGAAGCCCCGGUAAACGGCGGCCGUAACUAUAACGGUCCUAAGGUAGCGAAAUUCCUUGUCGGGUAAGUUCCGACCUGCACGAAUGGCGUAAUGAUGGCCAGGCUGUCUCCACCCGAGACUCAGUGAAAUUGAACUCGCUGUGAAGAUGCAGUGUACCCGCGGCAAGACGGAAAGACCCCGUGAACCUUUACUAUAGCUUGACACUGAACAUUGAGCCUUGAUGUGUAGGAUAGGUGGGAGGCUUUGAAGUGUGGACGCCAGUCUGCAUGGAGCCGACCUUGAAAUACCACCCUUUAAUGUUUGAUGUUCUAACGUGGACCCGUGAUCCGGGUUGCGGACAGUGUCUGGUGGGUAGUUUGACUGGGGCGGUCUCCUCCUAAAGAGUAACGGAGGAGCACGAAGGUUGGCUAAUCCUGGUCGGACAUCAGGAGGUUAGUGCAAUGGCAUAAGCCAGCUUGACUGCGAGCGUGACGGCGCGAGCAGGUGCGAAAGCAGGUCAUAGUGAUCCGGUGGUUCUGAAUGGAAGGGCCAUCGCUCAACGGAUAAAAGGUACUCCGGGGAUAACAGGCUGAUACCGCCCAAGAGUUCAUAUCGACGGCGGUGUUUGGCACCUCGAUGUCGGCUCAUCACAUCCUGGGGCUGAAGUAGGUCCCAAGGGUAUGGCUGUUCGCCAUUUAAAGUGGUACGCGAGCUGGGUUUAGAACGUCGUGAGACAGUUCGGUCCCUAUCUGCCGUGGGCGCUGGAGAACUGAGGGGGGCUGCUCCUAGUACGAGAGGACCGGAGUGGACGCAUCACUGGUGUUCGGGUUGUCAUGCCAAUGGCACUGCCCGGUAGCUAAAUGCGGAAGAGAUAAGUGCUGAAAGCAUCUAAGCACGAAACUUGCCCCGAGAUGAGUUCUCCCUGACCCUUUAAGGGUCCUGAAGGAACGUUGAAGACGACGACGUUGAUAGGCCGGGUGUGUAAGCGCAGCGAUGCGUUGAGCUAACCGGUACUAAUGAACCGUGAGGCUUAACCUUACAACGCCGAAGGUGUUU
rnacentral:rRNA from 1 species